CGAGGAGCUUGCUCCUUUGACGUUAGCGGCGGACGGGUGAGUAACACGUAGGUAACCUACCUAUAAGACUGGGAUAACUUCGGGAAACCGGAGCUAAUACCGGAUAAUAUUUCGAACCGCAUGGUUCGAUAGUGAAAGAUGGCUUUGCUAUCACUUAUAGAUGGACCUGCGCCGUAUUAGCUAGUUGGUAAGGUAACGGCUUACCAAGGCAACGAUACGUAGCCGACCUGAGAGGGUGAUCGGCCACACUGGAACUGAGACACGGUCCAGACUCCUACGGGAGGGAGCAGUGGG
rnacentral:rRNA from 1 species